rfam:Trichuris muris Edinburgh genomic scaffold, scaffold66
GUCUACGAUCAUACUACGUUGAAAACAUCACAUUCCGUCAGAUCUGCGAAGUUAAGAAACGUUAGGCCGGGUUAGUAGCAUGAUUGGACACAACGUGGGAACAUUCGGUAUCGUAGGCU